rnacentral:rRNA from 1 species
GAUCCUGGCUCAGGAUGAACGCUAGCUACAGGCCUAACACAUGCAAGUCGAGGGGCAGCAGAUCGAAAGCUUGCUUUGAUGCUGGCGACCGGCGAAUGGGUGAGUCACGCGUGUCCAACCUGCCCUGUGCCCGGGGAUAGCCCUUGGAAAUGAGGAUUAACGCCCGAUAGGUGGCGCUUCCGCAUGGCGGCGCCAUGAAACCGACACAGGAUGGGGACGCGUCGGAUUAGCUUGACGGCGGGGCGACGGCCCACCGUGGCGACGAUCCGCAGGGGUUCUGAGAGGAAGGUCCCCCACACUGGCACUGAGACACGGGCCAGACUCCUACGGGAGGCAGCAGUGAGGAAUAUUGGUCAAUGGCCGAGAGGCUGAACCAGCCAAGUAGCCGUGCAGGACGACGGCCCUACGGGUUGUAAACUGCUUUUGCGGGAGGAUAAAGGACGCCACGUGUGGCGUUUUGCAGGUAUCCCGUGAAUAAGGACCGGCUAAUUCCGUGCCAGCAGCCGC